UCAUAAUCGAAGAAAAUCAAAUGUCGUUAGUGGCCGUUGCUAGAAUCUGGAACGGAUAUAUCGUUAGGAACAAAGUGUCAAUCGAGUGAAAACAGCGUAAAACGAAAUUCUUUGUGAUCGUGACCGAACGUCAAUUCCCUUCCUCGUUUCUAUCACGGGGACAGAAGAGAGUCGAUGUGCUUGUGAGAAACACGGUUGGAUCGUGUCGAAGCGUAGCAGCGAGGAGCAACGGAGCACGAUUCGAGGCGGGCAGAUGAUUUUCGAUCGAUCGACGGUCGCACGGCAUCGAGACUAUCGCGCCAUCGAGUUUCGUUACGUGUGUAGGUUGCCAUGCCGUCGAACUGCCGUCGGAGAUGCGCAUCAAUGUUCAGUGAUGACGAUACUUAGUUGAGCAUGUGUCAUUUUUGACAGGAUCGACAAGGAAGAACAACGGUCGUCACGACAUCUGGUCCUUUCAAAUGAUGUUUGGAUACAUUCUCGACGGAGAAGGAGAGACGGGUGAUUAGUGACAAGGAGAAGGAAAGAGAGAGAGAAAAAGAGAGAGAGAGAGAGAGAGAGAGAGAGAAAGAGAGAGAAAGAAAGAAAAGAACAGGUAGAAGAGGAAGAAAAAAGUGUAAGAAAAAAGAGAAAAAGGAGAAGUGAACAGAGAUUCGGUGUUGGCAGAGGAGAAAAAGAAAGAAUGGCACUUCGGUAUUUGUGUUUGAUCAAAUCGAAUGUGAUGAAUCGCAUUGUAAACGCAACAAAACGCAAGGAACGAAACGAGAUGAGGAAGCAUGCGACCGAAGCAAUCCGUUUCCCGCGACUCGUAACCGUGUCUCGUUUCUGAGGAGCGUCCCAUCGACGUAGUUUUUAUGUGUUCUCGUCAGAACGGCGACGAGCGAGAGGAUUCGGCACAUUGCCCGUCGGUCGCACGUGCGCAUUGAUGGUCGACAGUGAAACUCCUUCCAGAGGCAGAUAGACGCGGAAUAAUCCUGUGCUUUUUCUCGUGACGAGUUUUUGUGUCAAACAGGUGAGAGAUACGGCCUUCACGCACAAGGCUGGCAAACGAAUCACGCGUAUUCCGUCCCAGAACGAAUAUUAAUAAAUAUAUAUAUCUAUAAAAUAUAUAUAUAUAUAAAACAGGAAAAAAAAAGAAAAAAAGAGAGAAAAAAUUAGAAGUCCUGAGUGUAUGUGGAGCCCUUCGAAAACGGGAAUUGUUCAAACGGCCAACCAUCGUGUCCCAAAGAGAAUAAUCGGUGACUAGUCGUACCAAUCGUGUGCAACGUGGUGAGAGUGACAGAGAAAGGAAUAGAAAGAGAAGGCAUGCUCGGUAUACGAGAUGGUGUGAUCGUUUCUGACCGAGCAACGGCAACAGCAGCAGCACAUGCUACGGUGAUUCGUAUCAAUUCGCGACUGUGAUUUCUAAGCUUAAGGUUAUAAACAAAAUAUUAAGAAAAAAAAAGAAAAGCAAGAGUGGAAGGAGAAGAGGCGGAUGAAAUAUAUAAAUUAUUAAAAAAAAAAACAAGAUAGAGAAAUAUAAAAUCGUCCAUUGUGAUACUAAGAUAUAUUAAAGAAAGAUUAGGUGAACAUGUGCGUUUAAGGAGAUGGGUGUGAAUGAAAGGGGGCGCGACACAGAGUGUGCCAGACUGAAAUGCGAGUGUAAUUAAUGGAAACAAUGGUCGAUCGCGGGGCAUGCGUCGGAUUUAUAAACUGUGAUACACUGAUAACCACACCGAAGAGAGCCUGAUGUUCGAUCACUGACGUCGAAUCGCGUACCGACCUAUCUGCAUAAAACAAGUGGAAACAAAGUGGGAUGAAUCGCCGGUUUCGAAUCACAUUUUUGACCACCUCGUGAUUCACUUCGCAGUCGAUCAGCUUCAAUCGGAAAUCACUGGUCAUUGCAAUCCUCGAGAUCGAGAGCGGAAGCUCGCGAUACCGCCAGUAUCUUCUCCAUUAUUACGCUGAACAACGUUGAUGACGUGGAUCCUAGAGAAAGAGGUCUAGGCGUGACAGGGCCAAUAAGGAGCUGGUGGGGAGGU
rnacentral:lncRNA from 1 species